GUCUACGGCCAUGCUACCCUGAACAAGUCCAAUCUGGUCUGAUCUUGGAAGCUAAGCAGGAUUGGACCUAGUUAGUACUUGGAUGGGAGACCACCUACGAAGACUAGGUGCUAUAGACA
rnacentral:rRNA from 1 species